GAAAGAGACAGAGCCUGGAAAGAAGGAAAGAUCAACUACUGGAAGGCAUGAGAAAAAGGUGGAAGAUUCCAUCUCUUUGUUAUUGGUAUCGGCAGGGAGCAGAAAGUUGGCAGAUGGGAAAAUGUUUCAUGUGUAAUACAUACUAUGUGGGGCUGCCUUCGAGGAUGGCUCAGAAACUACCGUUGUGGCAAAACACUGCAGCUUGACUCCUUACUGUGGCUUGCAGCAUGGUGUACAUAACUGCAAUAGUAUUGUUCUUCGGCUCAGUUCAAGAUGCUGGUGUUUCCCUUUAACAUCUGAAAUAAUCUGUCUGGGGCCUGCAUACCUGAAGGACCAUGUCAUCCAAUAGAUGCCUCCCUACCUCUAACUCAGGUGAGAGUUCUUCACAUAUGACUUUGGUAUUAGGACGACCCGCAAGUCACUUCGAGGUGCUUCCACAAUCUAGCUGUGCUCACUUGUAAAUGGAGUCACUCCUUCUCAAAAGCACCACCCAUAUCAUAGCUCUCCUGGAUUACAGACUUCAGAAAUGAUGUAAUAUCUCUUGUAAUAUCUGAUGCACAACUAAUUUUUCACAGGAGAUUGUUCUGGUAUUUGAAAGU